GGGUGACCCGGGUUCGAUCCCCGGC
rnacentral:siRNA from 1 species